rnacentral:misc_RNA from 1 species
UUUUUUUUUUUUUUUUUUAAAAAAAUCAAAAACAAAAAAAUUUUCCCCCCCCCAAAAAAAAGAAAAAAAAAAAAAUAGUCAGGAAACAACUCUUCCAGCAUUACCCUCUCCAUGUAUUAGAAAAGGGGCCCCUCAAACCUGAUGUAACUCAUCAACACAACAGCUGAAAUUUCUGUAGACCACACUGACCCCCCAUGUAAUUCCAGAUUCCGGCCAUUCAACUUUGGCUUCAGCAUCAACAAACAGAUUGGAAAUUGAUUGUUUCCUACAUUUCAUAUAGGCAAAUGUUGAUAUGUGCAACAUCACAGCCCCAGAAAGUUGAAAAUGUGUUGCGUACUGGCAUUGCCACGCAUAGAGAGCAGAUUUGCUGCCUUCCAUCAUCUUUCUGAAUACAUGUGCU